rnacentral:rRNA from 1 species
UACCAGCACCUCGAGUGGUCAGGACGUUUAUUGGGCCUAGAGCAUCCGUAGCCGGCUUUGCAAGUCUUCGGUUAAAUCCACCUGCUCAACAGAUGGGCCGCUGGAGAUACUACAAAGCUAGGGAGUGGGAGAGGCAGACGGUAUUCAGUGGGUAGGGGUAAAAUCCUCUGAUCCAUUGAGGACCACCAGUGGCGAAGGCGGUCUGCCAGAACACGUUCGACGGUGAGGGAUGAAAGCUGGGGGAGCAAACCGG